rnacentral:tRNA from 1 species
GCGCCUGUAGCUCAGCUGGAUAGAGCAUCGGACUUCGAAUCCGCAGGUCGGGUGUUCGAAUCACCCCGGGCGCG